GGCUUUUUUCCUCAGUGUGAUUCUAGAGGUGUCUUGGGCUGGGAGGCAGUUGAUGCCUUGGCAGCCUGCCUGGUUGGCCUUAACUGAACAAUCACUGCCUUGUUCACAAGAUGAGGCCAACAUAGCUGUACAUGGCUCUGCAUGCCAUGGACAAGGUGCCAUCAAAAUAUAGCCAGAGGGUAAAGAAGAAGACUUUGCCAGAACCAUAGAGAGCAUCCAGGAAGCGGAGUGGCUCUGCUCCAGGACAGCAGGCAGCAGAGAGACUGUUCAUGACUCAUGGGCAGGUGGCUCAGGACCCUGAAGUCCACAGGGUCUGUGAAUGUGUUUGCUUACGGCUUUUUAAAGAGAUUAAGCACGGAACAGGCCCAAGGACACAAGAGGAAAAACUCUGCCAAUCCCACAAUCUAUUGUGAUGGUAUACAGCCACUUAAAACAGCUGCUGGAGGACAGCAGAGCAGUUCUAGGACAGACGAACCUGGUUCUGGUCCCGAUAAACACCACUACUGUCUCCUCGUGGCUACAGAAAGGUGUGGACAGAGACAUGCUGCUGCAGGGUACUGCACUGCCUAAACAAUUAUAUUUGGCAAAGGAGUCACUUCCUGCUGCUCCUGCACAGCAUGGGCAUGAGGCCAUGGUAUUUGAGGAGCCAGAAAAUCAGGAGGCAGAGGCCUUCAUUCGCAAGCACAUCUCCAACUACCCACCCCUCCUCCUGGAUCUUACUCGGGAUUUCCCAUAUACCCACCAACACCACACUUUGCAUUCCCCCCUCUUGGGUCCUACCCACCCUUUCCCAGCUACCCACCAGGUCUACCAGUGCCUCAGUCUACCCAGUUUAUGCCCUCUCCCCAGUUCCAGCCGCCUGAUAACCUGCCACCACAAACUUUCCCUCUACUCAGCCCAGGCAGCGCACCUGGAGAAGGCAGAAAGCUGCCCAAGAGGAUGAGGAACGAGUGGCUAGGGGUGAACCACCAUGGAAACGCCUAGCAAAGGAUAUAUAUCACUAUAUCUGCAAACACUGCGGGCUGUCAAAAAACAAGACAACUGGCCACACUCAGCUGAAGGGCCGGUGGUAUUGUCCAGCCUCAGGCCUCUCUGUUGCACAGUGGAAAGGGAAUGUACAGGGAGCUCUUUGAUUUGUUUAAUUGGUGUAUAUAGUAGUUAUGUAUAUAGUUAGGUUUUUAUAUAGUAGUUUUUUUUAUAGUUGUAUAUACUUCAGUUUUUAAUUGUGUUUGCUGUGCUGUGUGUUGUGCUGUGAACAUUUUGUUUUUAGUUGCUGUGUUUGUAUAAAAAAAAAAAAGACACAACUUGUGGUGUAAUAGUAACACAUCCAACCUUUGGGUGGAAGAUUCCAGGUGCAAGUCCAGGCAAGAGUGUGUGGUGUGUUUGUCAGAUCAGUAUUUUAGUUUUUUAAAAGUUUUUAUUAUAAAUUGUAUAGUCAAAAAUCAUUUAAACCCUUUACUUAAAUCCUUUGUGUUCAUGAGUGCUCGACUUUUUUUCUUUCCUUAAGUAAAAAUCAAAUACUAUCAAAAACAAUUAGAUGAAACUGAACACCUACACAAGCAUUAGUCUUUCAAUUCAUUACCAUCUAUUCAAAGGGGAAAACUUCUGAAUAAUUUUGUACUGUAACAUAAACAUGGUUCAUGUAACAAACUGCAGUGAAAUAUAAACAAUAGAGAGUGUUUUUCUUGUUUUGUUAAGAAACUUUACAAAAGAAAACGUAUAAUGCUACCUGAUGUUAGUGUUUUUAGGUCUGUGUUUUAUGAUUGACAAGCUGCGUUUGCUGAGUGAAAACCUUUGCUAGUGUUUUGGAAGAAUGAGUUGAUUUGAGACAUGAAUGAAGUGUUUUGUUAGAUUCAGUGCAUUUUGAAUGUGAAAUGAACUGCUGUGCCCAGAUGAAAGUUGGUUAGGAGAACUGUGUGAAGAGUUUUGAAAAAGUGACUUAAGUAUUGAGAAAUGUGUCCUUGCGAUUGUAAAAAAAAACUGUAAAGGUACUUAAUCUGUAAAGGUAAAGGUAAUUCAAGGAUGAGAUUCUGGUCAAAUGUCUGUUUAGUUGUUUAUUAUAAUGGAAUUCCACCAAAAGCAGCAGAAGUGAGCUGUCGGCACAUUAUGAAUUGUUGUCUACUGGCAAAAACCUGCACAAUAUCACUGGCUGUUAUGUGCCUGUCACUAAACCAGUUACAGCUCCCUUAAGAUCGGUCAGGAUCAGGUCAGGUCAGGGCCAAGAUUCAGCAAGAUAGUGAAUGGUCAUCAGAGAUGAGACACUCAUAAGGGAGGAAGAGAUUAUGGGGCGGUUUCCCGGACAUAUAAAAUAUAUAUAUAUAUAUAAAAUAAUUUUGUACGUUUAUGUGCAUUUUAUAUAUACAAAUAACUGAUCAGAUUCUAAAACAUUUCAGCAUAAUUAUUUUUGUUAUACAAGAGUUUAACAGGAAAUAAAAAAAAGAUAAAUGAAGAAAAAGUGAUGGUGUGUUUUGGCAUAAAUACACUGAAAAAAAAGAUAGAUAGAUAGAUAGAUUCUUUAUUUAUUUAGAUUCUUUUUUUUUCUCAGGUUUUCCCUUUGAAAACUGCUGUUUGAAGUACAUUGUGCAACAUUCCUGCUAUUGUUUUCAAGCUGAAGAAGCAAAGGACGCUCUGUGCUGAUCCGAAACAAUCCUGGGUGCAAGAACUCAUGCAGAAAAUAGACAAGAAAAACACAGGCACUAAGUAGUGUACGAGUUUCAGAGACAGAUUUGAUCACGCCACUGCAGACGAAA